rnacentral:rRNA from 1 species
GCGACAGGCUUAACACAUGCAAGUCGAGGGGCAGCACAGGUAGCAAUACCGGGUGGCGACCGGCGCACGGGUGAGUAACGCGUAUGCAACUUGCCUAUCAGAGGGGGAUAACCCGGCGAAAGUCGGACUAAUACCGCAUGAAGCAGGGGCCCCGCAUGGGGAUAUUUGCUAAAGAUUCAUCGCUGAUAGAUAGGCAUGCGUUCCAUUAGGCAGUUGGCGGGGUAACGGCCCACCAAACCGACGAUGGAUAGGGGUUCUGAGAGGAAGGUCCCCCACAUUGGUACUGAGACACGGACCAAACUCCUACGGGAGGCAGCAGUGAGGAAUAUUGGUCAGUGGGCGCGAGCCUGAACCAGCCAAGUCGCGUGAGGGAUGAAGGUUCUAUGGAUCGUAAACCUCUUUUAUAAGGGAAUAAAGUGCGGGACGUGUCCCGUUUUGUAUGUACCUUAUGAAUAAGGAUCGGCUAACUCCGUGCCAGCAGCCGCGGUAAUACGGAGGAUCCGAGCGUUAUCCGGAUUUAUUGGGUUUAAAGGGUGCGUAGGCGGCCUUUUAAGUCAGCGGUGAAAGUCUGUGGCUCAACCAUAGAAUUGCCGUUGAAACUGGGGGGCUUGAGUAUGUUUGAGGCAGGCGGAAUGCGUGGUGUAGCGGUGAAAUGCAUAGAUAUCACGCAGAACCCCGAUUGCGAAGGCAGCCUGCCAAGCCAUUACUGACGCUGAUGCACGAAAGCGUGGGGAUCAAACAGGAUUAGAUACCCUGGUAGUCCACGCAGUAAACGAUGAUCACUAGCUGUUUGCGAUACACUGUAAGCGGCACAGCGAAAGCGUUAAGUGAUCCACCUGGGGAGUACGCCGGCAACGGUGAAACUCAAAGGAAUUGACGGGGGCCCGCACAAGCGGAGGAACAUGUGGUUUAAUUCGAUGAUACGCGAGGAACCUUACCCGGGUUUGAACGCAUUCGGACCGAGGUGGAAACACCUUUUCUAGCAAUAGCCGUUUGCGAGGUGCUGCAUGGUUGUCGUCAGCUCGUGCCGUGAGGUGUCGGCUUAAGUGCCAUAACGAGCGCAACCCUUGCCACUAGUUACUAACAGGUAAAGCUGAGGACUCUGGUGGGACUGCCAGCGUAAGCUGCGAGGAAGGCGGGGAUGACGUCAAAUCAGCACGGCCCUUACAUCCGGGGCGACACACGUGUUACAAUGGCGUGGACAAAGGGAAGCCACCUGGCGACAGGGAGCGAAUCCCCAAACCACGUCUCAGUUCGGAUCGGAGUCUGCAACCCGACUCCGUGAAGCUGGAUUCGCUAGUAAUCGCGCAUCAGCCAUGGCGCGGUGAAUACGUUCCCGGGCCUUGUACACACCGCCCGUCAAGCCAUGGGAGCCGGGGGUACCUGAAGUCCGUAACCGCGAGGAUCGGCCUAGGGUAAAACUGGUGACUGGG